UGGUGGCGCUGGCUAACACUCCCAGGGUUAUACUAGAUAAACAUAAAUACCCCAGAAAGUGGGUGGGAAAACGGCGCGGCGGUAGCUCAAUUGGAAAGAGCAACGUUCACGUUAUGCGAAUACGUGGGUUCGUAAUCCACCUGCGGCCAGUUGCUUUUUCGUCCACUUUAAUUUCCAUUU
rnacentral:lncRNA from 1 species